rnacentral:rRNA from 1 species
UGGAAACGACUGCUAAUACCGCAUAAGCCCACGGCUCGGCAUCGAGCAGAGGGAAAAGGAGCAAUCCGCUUUGAGAUGGCCUCGCGUCCGAUUAGCUAGUUGGUGAGGUAACGGCCCACCAAGGCGACGAUCGGUAGCCGGACUGAGAGGUUGAACGGCCACAUUGGGACUGAGACACGGCCCAGACUCCUACGGGAGGCAGCAGUGGGGAAUAUUGCACAAUGGGGGAAACCCUGAUGCAGCGACGCCGCGUGGAGGGAGAAGGUCUUCGGAUUGUAAACUCCUGUUGUUGAGGAAGAUAAUGACGGUACUCAACAAGGAAGUGACGGCUAACUACGUGCCAGCAGCCGCGGUAAAACGUAGGUCACAAGCGUUGUCCGGAAUUACUGGGUGUAAAGGGAGCGCAGGCGGGAGAACAAGUUGGAAGUGAAAUCCAUGGGCUCAACCCAUGAACUGCUUUCAAAACUGUUUUUCUUGAGUAGUGCAGAGGUAGGCGGAAUUCCCGGUGUAGCGGUGGAAUGCGUAGAUAUCGGGAGGGACACCAGUGGCGAAGGCGGCCUACUGGGCACCAACUGACGCUGAGGCUCGAAAGUGUGGGUAGCAAACAGGAUUAGAUACCCUGGU